UCAGCUUAAGGAACCUCCUGACUCACCACUAUUGUGCAUGGAUUAGUCUGUUAGUCUGCAUGGGACAUGCCUUAGCUGUGAGAUGUGGACCAGCUGCUGAGAUACAGUGGCGGUGAUGAAUUUUUACUGAGCGCGCCAUGUUUUGAAGAACGCUCCCAGAAUGAUGCCAGGUACCCUUUGCCUAAGGCUGAUGGAAAAAAAGAAAAAAACAACAAGGUACUUUGAAGAAAUCUGGAAAGCUGUUAUUCAAGGUAGAUGAGCCUGAAGCCCUCCUAUGCAUUCCAAGUAAUUUAGUAUUCAGAGUGAGCACUGAUUCAAGUAGUCAUUUUAGGAAUCAUCACCUGAUAUACAAAUACGUGAUUGAUCCCUUGGUAAAUGAAAAUGACAGAAAAUCACAGGUGUCUGUCGCCAAAAUUACUGCUUGUGUGAACAAAGAAAUUAAAUCGGACUGUAAGAACAAGA